rnacentral:rRNA from 1 species
GACGAACGCUGGCGGCGUGCUUAACACAUGCAAGUCGAACGGAAAGGCCCUGCUUUUGUGGGGUGCUCGAGUGGCGAACGGGUGAGUAACACGUGAGUAACCUGCCCUUGACUUUGGGAUAACUUCAGGAAACUGGGGCUAAUACCGGAUAGGAGCUCCUGCUGCAUGGUGGGGGUUGGAAAGUUUCGGCGGUUGGGGAUGGACUCGCGGCUUAUCAGCUUGUUGGUGGGGUAGUGGCUUACCAAGGCUUUGACGGGUAGCCGGCCUGAGAGGGUGACCGGCCACAUUGGGACUGAGGUACGGACCAGAAUCCUACGGGAGGCAGCAGUGGGGAAUAUUGCACAAUGGGCGGAAGCCUGAUGCAGAAACGCCGCGUGCGGGAUGACGGCCUUCGGGUUGUAAACCGAUUUCGACUGUGACGAAGAGUGAGUGACGGUAAUGAGUAAAGAAGCACCGGCUAACUACGUG